rnacentral:rRNA from 1 species
UACGGAGGGGACUAGCGGUGUUCGGAAUUAAUGGGCGUAAAGCGCACGUAGGCGGAUUUGUAAGUCAGGGGUGAAAUCCCGGGGCUCAACCUCGGAACGGCCUUGGAUACUGCAAAUCUCGAGUACGGAAGAGGUGAGUGGAAUUCGUAGUGUAGAGGUGAAAUUCGUAGAUAUUAGGAAGAACACCAGUGGCGAAGGCGGCUCACUGGACCGGUACUGACGCUCAGGUGCGAAAGCGUUGGGAGCAAACAGG